rnacentral:rRNA from 1 species
UGGAUCCAGACUUUGAUUAUGGCUCAGGAUGAACGCUAGCUACAGGCUUAACACAUGCAAGUCGAGGGGCAGCAUGAACUUAGCUUGCUAAGUUUGAUGGCGACCGGCGCACGGGUGAGUAACACGUAUCCAACCUUCCGUUUACUCAGGGAUAGCCUUUCGAAAGAAAGAUUAAUACCUGAUAGUAUGGUGAGAUUGCAUGAUAACACCAUUAAAGAUUCAUUGGUAAACGAUGGGGAUGCGUUCCAUUAGGUAGUAGGCGGGGUAACGGCCCACCUAGCCAACGAUGGAUAGGGGUUCUGAGAGGAAGGUCCCCCACAUUGGAACUGAGACACGGUCCAAACUCCUACGGGAGGCAGCAGUGAGGAAUAUUGGUCAAUGGGCGCGAGCCUGGACCAGCCAAGUAGCGUGAAGGAUGAAGGUCCUACGGAUUGUAAACUUCUUUUAUAAGGGAAUAAAGUCGCCUACGUGUAGGCGUUUGUAUGUACCUUAUGAAUAAGCAUCGGCUAACUCCGUGCCAGCAGCCGCGGUAAUACGGAGGAUGCGAGCGUUAUCCGGAUUUAUUGGGUUUAAAGGGAGCGUAGACGGAGGAUUAAGUCAGUUGUGAAAGUUUGCGGCUCAACCGUAAAAUUGCAGUUGAUACUGGUCCCCUUGAGUGCAGUUGAGGCAGGCGGAAUUCGUGGUGUAGCGGUGAAAUGCUUAGAUAUCACGAAGAACCCCGAUUGCGAAGGCAGCCUGCUAAGCUGUAACUGACGUUGAUGCUCGAAAGUGUGGGUAUCAAACAGGAUUAGAUACCCUGGUAGUCCACACGGUAAACGAUGGAUACUCGCUGUUGGCGAUAUACUGUCAGCGGCCAAGCGAAAGCAUUAAGUAUCCUACCUGGGGAGUACGCCGGCAACGGUGCAACUCAAAGGAAUUGACGGA